rnacentral:rRNA from 1 species
UACGUAGGGUCCGAGCGUUGUCCGGAAUUAUUGGGCGUAAAGAGCUCGUAGGUGGUGUGUCGCGUCUGCCGUGAAAGCCCGGGGCUUUAACUCCGGGUCUGCGGUUGGAUACGGGCAGACUAGAGGCAGGUAGGGGAGAACGGAAUUCCCGGUGUAGCGGUGAAAUGCGCAGAUAUCGGGAGGAACACCGGUGGCGAAGGCGGUUCUCUGGGCCUGUACUGACGCUGAGGAGCGAAAGCGUGGGGAGCGAACAGG